CCCUUAGAUGUCCUGGGCCGCACGCGCGUUACACUGAUGCAUUCAACGAGCUUAUAACCUUGGCCGAGGGGCCUGGGCAAUCUUGUUAACGUGCAUCGUGAUAGGGAUAGAUUAUUGAAAUUAUUAAUCUUGAACGAGGAAUUCCUAGUAAACGCAGAUCAUCAAUCUGCAUUGAUUACGUCCCUGCCCUUUGUACACACCGCCCGUCGCACCUACCGAUUGGAUGGUCCGGUGAAGCCUCGGGAUUGUGGUUCUUGCCGCUUUAUUGUGGCGUGACCGCGAGAACUUGUCUAAACCUUAUCAUCUAGAGGAAGGUGAAGUCGUAACA
rnacentral:rRNA from 1 species